UACGUAGGGGGCAAGCGUUGUCCGGAAUCAUUGGGCGUAAAGCGCGUGUAGGCGGUCCGGUAAGUCCGCUGUGAAAGUCGGGGGCUCAACCCUCGGAUGCCGGUGGAUACUGUCGGGCUUGAGUACGGAAGAGGCGAGUGGAAUUCCUGGUGUAGCGGUGAAAUGCGCAGAUAUCAGGAGGAACACCAAUUGCGAAGGCAGCUCGCUGGGACGUUACUGACGCUGAGACGCGAAAGUGUGGGGAGCGAACAGG
rnacentral:rRNA from 1 species